CUGGCAGUCAUUCCACUGUCCGAGUUGUAAAUUGAAGAGAAUGUCAUCCACACUGGACCAUGUCUAAAUUGUAAUAAUCCACAGUCCUUUGAUGGAGUAUCAGAGAGGGUAAUAAUCCCGUCUUUAACGUGGACCACCAGUGUUUAUGUGAUGCACUCUCUCAGAGUCGAGUAGUUUGGGAAUGCUGCUCUAAUGGGAGGUAAACUCCUUCUAAAGCUAAAUAUUGGCGAGAGACCGAUAGCGAACAAGUACCGUGAGGGAAAGAUGAAAAGAACUCUGAAAAGAGAGUCAAACAGAACGUGAAAUUGCUGAAAGGGAAGCGUUUGGAGUCAGAUGCAUCCUCAAUGUAAUACGGCUCAGUUGGCAGAGACUGAGAGCAGUGACUUGAAGAUGGGCCAGCACUCACGUAGAUCAUUGGAGAAGGGGUCAUGGAAUGUAGCUCAAUUCUUGAGUGUUUAUAGACUUGAUUCAUAUACAAUGUGUCUUAUGUGUGUUAAUUGACAGCACGAGUCUUGACUCA
rnacentral:rRNA from 2 species